rnacentral:snRNA from 1 species
GGAUGUCAGGGUGAUCUGGCUGCGACAUCUGUCACCUCAUUGAUCACCAGUGUUGAUUCGGUUGAUCUGGCUGGCCUGGUGGGUGUCCCCUUCCCCCCUCACUGCUCCAUGCAUGUCCCUUCCAAAGUUGCAUGCUCAAUCAAAGAGGCUGACCCUCCCCGACAGAGGAGGACCAUUCUUCAGUCAAGGGUAUACGAGUAGCUGCACUCUCCUGCUAGAGCCUCCAAACAAGCUCUCAAAACCACAAUGAGAUAUCACCUAACCCCAGUGAGCAUGGCUUUUAUCAAAAAGUCCCAAAACAACAAAUGCUGGUGUGGA